AAGUAGGGGAUCGCAAGACCUUGCGCUUUUGGAGUGGCCGAUGCCUGAUUAGCUAGUUGGUGGGGUAAGGGCCUACCAAGGCGACGAUCAGUAGUUGGUCUGAGAGGACGACCAGCCACACUGGGACUGAGACACGGCCCAGACUCCUACGGGAGGCAGCAGUGGGGAAUUUUGGACAAUGGGCGAAAGCCUGAUCCAGCAAUGCCGCGUGAGUGAAGAAGGCCUUCGGGUUGUAAAGCUCUUUCAGUCGAGAAGAAAAGGUCGCGACUAAUAAUCGCGACUCAUGACGGUAUCGACAGAAGAAGCACCGGCUAACUACGUGCCAGCAGCCGCGGUAAUACGUAGGGUGCGAGCGUUAAUCGGAAUUACUGGGCGUAAAGGGUGCGCAGGCGGCUUUGUAAGUCAGAUGUGAAAUCCCCGGGCUUAACCUGGGAAUUGCGUUUGAAACUACAAAGCUUAGA
rnacentral:rRNA from 1 species